UAGAGGUUAUUAGCAAGCCCACCUAAUCCCCGGUCCAGAACGAUCCCUAUUUAUACUUAUACUACAAUUGUCAAAAGAGGGUUAAAUUUGUGUGUUAAGAUAAUUUUCGCAUCAAGUUUUUGGCACCGUUGCCGGGGAUUAGCAAUUGCUAAUCCCUUGUUAUUUCUUUUUGUUUUUUUUCGUGUCUUUUGUUUUUAGUUACUGACUUUGUUUCUGUUUGUGUUUUUUUUUUUUUUUUUUUUACUUUUGAUAUUUGAUUUAGUUUUGUUUCCUUGAUUUCGGGUACUAGAGAAAUAAGACAUGGAUUUUGCUACCAUUCAAGCUCAAUUGGCGGAAAUUACUUCUCAAUUGUCACAAUAUGCCGAAAGGACCACAAUGCAAAGUGUCCCUACAUGUGGUGUGUCGUAUGGGCAAGGAUAUCCAACUCAGCAAUAUUCUCAAUUCACUGCGAAUGAAGAUGCUUGAGGUUAUCAAGGCUAUAGCCAAUCAUAGGACAACAUGUUUUCCAAUGCUUACAAUUCAGAUUGGAGAGAUUAUUCAGAUUACAUAGAACCUCAACAAUUCCAACAAGAUGGAUAUUGGCAGCAAGAAGAGGAGUUCUAUUCAAUACCUAUGCAGCCAUCACAACCUCAUAUACAAUAUGCUCAAUCAAACUCAGGUUUGUCAACAGAUUAUGGUCGAAUUUUUGAUGAAAUAAAUUCUUUGGUGCAGAGCUCACAAAAUCAAGCCAAGGAGGCUCAACAAGAUGGAUAUUGGCAGUAAUCUAAGGAGUUUUAUUUAACACCUAUGCAGCCACCACAACUUCCCCUACAAGAAUUCCAAUCAAAUUUAAGUAUGUCCACGGAUAGUGAUCAAAUUUUUCAAUUACUAACCUCUUUGGUACAGGGGCAGCAAAAUCAAAAUGAAACAAUGCUCAAUCAAACUAAGGAGAUGAGCGAAUUGAAAAAUCAACUUGGAGAGAUUAUGGAGUUCACAGCACAAAUUCAAGAGCAAAGUGAACUCUCCAACUCAACUAUUGAAAAUUUGAAGGAAGAUUUUGAAAUCCAUGAUGCUAUCACUUUGGGAAGUGCUAUGGGGGUUGAAGGUGAACUCAAGACAUCCAAACCAAGCCAAAACAUGGAUGAACAGCUGAUGCUCGAAGAAGAGGAGAAUAACAAGGCCAAGAUAAGGGAAGAACCACCCUUGCCGCAGCCCCAUAUGCCUUCUAUGCCAUCCACUACAACCAAGGUAAGCCUAAAUUCAAUUUGUCCUGACCCCAUUUCACCAAAUGUCCUUAUUCCUUGCAGGAUCAUGCAAUCCAAGGAAGAAAAGGGUGAGAAAAGCAUCUUCGAAACCUUUCCAAAGAAUCAAGAGCAAGAAGUGGAUGGGGAAUGUCUAGAAUUCAUCAAAGAAGAUACACUUGAGACGAAAAUUCUCAAAGAAGUUGAAUUUUAUGACACAGGAAAAGUCAUUACUCUCAAAACACCAAAUCUGGCUAAGUCUCAUAUCCCUGCAACCUUCAAAGAUGUGGUGUUCGUAAUUGAGUUUGUGUUGGAGCAAGCAAGUAAGCCAUCUUUUCCACCUUCGAUUUUAUUAUAUACUAACUUGCUGAUUUUGAUGAUUCAGGCACCUACACUAGAAUUUAAACCAUUGUCGGAUUACGUCAAGUAUCACCUUCCAUUCAAUGAUCAAUUCCAUGCUAUGGGCCCUAUCUAAGUUUAGAAGGAAGUUUCGUCCGGCUGGAAGACGUUAAAGUAAGUGCUUCUUGGGAGGCAACCCAUGUAUUCAAUUGAGGAAGAUUUUUGAAUCGCUCCACAAUCAGUUUUGCGUUUCUAAAAAAACCUUCCCUUUUCUGUAUUUUUUUUUGCCAUGAUUGUCAUUUUUAUUUGUUGCUUAUUUAAUUAUUUUUUGGUGUGGGUUUAUUUUUGAGACAUUGACAGUUAUGCAAGGUAUUUUUACAUUCAUUUUCAUGAAAAUAAAGGAACAUUAAGCAGAAAAUACAAGAGGAAGCCUUCACAAAGGUUGCUUAGGAGAAGUCUUAGUAGUUGGUGGAGCCUCAGCAGUCGACGGAGCCUCAGCAGUCGGCGGAGCCCCAGAAGGAGGAAGCAUCGAAGGUUGAUCAUUUAGAGCUUCAUUACGCGGUACAGCCCCAGAAGACGAAGGCAAAUGCUGUUGUUGAACAAACCCACAAACCUCUGAUGAUCAAGUAAAAUCUGACCAUCAGAUUCCUGCAUCUGGUCAAUCUUCCUUUUCAUGUUUGUAGCAUAGUUAUGUGCGAGCUUGUGCAACUGUUUAUUCUCAUGCUUGAACCCUCUAAUCUCCUAUUUAAGACUCAUCACUUCAGCCGCCAAUGAUUCAACUUGACGGGUUCGAGCAAAUAGGCGUUGGGCCAUAUUAGACACAGAACCUGCACACUGCACACUGAGAGCCAGAGAAUCCUUAACAGCCAACACAUCAGACCGUUUGGAAAGUAGUCUGUUAUCUUUGGGAGUGAUAAGGUUCCGAGCCACCACCGUAGCGGUCAUAUCAUUCUUCAAGGGAUGAAUCCUAACUAACGGUAUGAACUAGUAUGGGCGCAUAAGGAUGGCUAUAGCAUGUCCGAUAAGGUCUUUCAGGUUCAAGGUUUGGGGUAAAACGAGGUCCAGGGGCAGACAUUUUCAAAGGUGUUGAAGAAAGAAGAGGUCGAAUAAGUCAAGAUCGUAGAAGUGCAAGAAUGGAGUUUCUACAGGCAGAAAUUCAAGUGUGCUUUGAAACAUAAUGCGCUCCUCUAUAAAAACCAACACUCGACGAGAUUUCAGAGAUCGAAGAGGUGAGCUCAGAAAUCGAAGAGGCCAAUUCAAAAAUCGAAAUGCGCUAGCUUUCUCAAAAGCUGGGCUUGCUCAGAAACCACGGGCCAAUCUUCUUUUCCAGAUUUGUCCACACUUGUCACAUGCAACCUCUGCACUCGACGGAGCUUAGAACUCGAAGAGGCGAGCUCAAAACUCGAAGAGGCGAGCUCAGAACUCGAAGAGGGAAGCUUAAAAAUUGAAUAGGCAUCUGCUUUUCCAGACGUGUCAGCAUCUGUCACAUACACACUCAGCUUUGCGAAAAUCAUGGGCAGGUUGUCGAAACGCCGAUUCCAGAUAUCGAAGAGGCACUUGCUUUUCCAAAUGUGUCAGCGCUUGUCACAUGCACACUCAGCCUUGCGGAAAUUACGGGCAAUUUGUCGAAGAUUUCUUAUGAAGUAGAAGGCACGUGAAGUUUACUGUUAAAUCAUCCAACGGUUGCUGACGAGAGUGAAAGAAUAAUACCGGUUAUUAAUUCCUAUAAAUGUUAACCUUCACCCUCCAUUGCAAAGCAGACAUACAUAACAUUUCUUCAUCUCUGAGAAUGCCUUCCCAACGAAGCCUCUCGAGUCACUCAGUGUUCCUUAUUCCUUGGGGUACCUCUGCAAACAAUUCAUCCAAAGCAAAAGUAUUUCAUAUCAUGAAGGUUGAAAGCAAGAGUAUCUCAUAUCAUGCUUUCUCCAUGUCAUUCUCCUUGUCGUUGUUUUCAUCUGGGGGACAAGGAGAAAGAGAGCAAUCAGCUAGCACUUGGUAUCAAUCUUCCGAUCUGGAAUCGACUGCCUGGAACCCCUUCCUGAUUGCUUACCUAGCCUUGCUCUCGAGUACUCAUCUUCAACAUCUUAUGCUUCCUCUUCAUCUACCACAUCUGCCUGGGGAAUAGAUAAAGGAAGUGAAAAUGAUACCUCGAAGCAUGUGGAGACAAUGUGCUAAUUCAUCCUCAGCUAGGAACAAGGAGAAAGAAAGCAAAUGGUGGGCACUUGGAAAGAUUGAAGAAAGAAACAGACCAUCACCUCUACCUCGUGCCUGCCUGCCGUGCAGAAGAAACAAGCAGAGAAGAAUGCAGACUACACAACCAAAGAACUAUUAUAUCCCUCGCUCAGAAUUCCGAACCAGUUCGAGAUCAAAGCUAUGGAAAGUCAACAAGAUCAUCUAUCUCCAAAACCAGAUUUGCGUUCAUAAACUCUACUCUGUCUGGUUUUUACUUUGCUAUACUUGUCAUGUUUAUUCGUUGUUUGUUUGUUUGCUUGUUUUUUUGUGUGAGUUUAUGCUUGAAACAUUGAGGACAAUGUUUGAUUAAGUGUGGGGGGGGGGGGUAACCAAGUUGUUUUGCAUAAAAUUCGUAGGAGUUUAUCACCCAUUACUUGUAGUGUUGUCCCUUGCUGUUUUUAAGUGUUUUUAAGCUGUUUUGGAGUGUUUUAGUGUGUUUUGACAUAAAAACCAAAAAUCUCAUAAAAACUUGAAAAAUUGUUUUGAAAAACCAAAAAAAAAAACUGUUUUUGUGUGUUUAUUUGUGUCUUAGGGUACCUUCCAACACAAUGAUGAGGAUUUGGUUUUUAAUUACAUGACUGUUAAAGAGAGUUAUAAACAUGGAUGAAAAUUUGAUUUACUCUUUGGUGUAUGCUUGGUUGUGGUUAUAAUUUAUGAAUUCACAUGCAAUCAUAAAGGAAAAAUCAGUUUUUGUAACACGCUUGAAGGAAGGAACUCAAAUGAACGCUACAACCUUGUGAGACUUGAGCCUAAACAUUUAUUUGGAGAAUUAAUAAUCUGUGCAUCAUUGUUUUCUAAAGUCGUUGCAUGAUCUCAUUAUUCUUUCCUUGGUUGCUACUUAGAAGGCGUUUCAUCAUUUAGUGCCAAAUGCUAGAACUCAUGCCUCUUUCAUUCAAAGCAUGCUAUUGAUUUGCAUAACACAUAUUCAAGAUGAAGUUGUGUAGUGACCACCAAAGCCAAUUGUCGUGCCCCUAUUUCAUUAUGUGUUUAAGCCUAUGUUCUUUGUUAAUCCACAUUAUCCUUAGCCUUGUUAAGCCUAUGUUCUUUGUUAAUCCACACUAUCCUUAGCUAGCCUAGUUUUAGGACCAUCCAUACCCUUGUUCUUGAAGCAUAGUAAAGCAUAACUUAAAAUGAACUCCUUUUUUUAUCAAUGUAUUGCAGAAAGCAAGUGUGGGAGAAGUGAUUCUUGUGUGUGUGUGUGUGCCAAAGUCCUUAAUAAUGCACGGGUAGGAAAAAAAAAAGAGUGAAAAGAAAAAAGUUUGUUAAAAAAGGGUCCAAAACAUUGAAUUCGGCCCUAAGUGUUGCAUGAAUCUUCCCUUUGUAUUUAAAAGUUGAUUCUGCAUUCUAAAGUGAAUUCCAAGUGUCUAUUUCAUUGCUUUGCUUGCUAUCGCUUUAAGAACGUUUGUUAUUACUAUCCUUUCUUUAUUAGCCAUUACCCCCAAGCCCUGUUACAACCCUUGACUUCAAUCUUGAGUGUUGUGUGUUUCAAUUUGUGGAGUUUGAAAUUGGUAUAAGCAUAUGGUGUCACUGGUUCUCGCAUCUAAGUAGUAACAUUUCAUUCAUGAGAUCAUAUCUAAACAUGCUUAAUAACUCCAGAAAAUUGAUUUCUUUGUUAUAACAUAUGUGAAUCCUAGUCUUUCGUGUUUACAUUAAUCUUCUCACAUAUACUACUGUAGGGUGUGUAGUCAGAAAAUGUGUGUGAAAAUAGAGAGUAUCUUGUAAGAAAUUGAGCAAAAUCUCUAAGGCAUGUUACUACAUUCAAAACAUCAUUUUAAUUGGUUAAUUGUGAACUAGUAAGUGGUGACUGUGAUUAAGUAUGUGCUCAAGUGUAAAGAUGACCAAAAUCUAUGGGAAUGAUGAUUUUUAACAUGUCAUGUUUUAUUAAAAAUCCUUGAGGCAAAUGUUGGAAGGUCUAGGUUGUGUUUUGUUUGUUUCAUUUGUUUUGUUUUGCUCGAUGACUAGCAAAAGCUAAGUGUGGGAGAAUUUGAUAGGAGCAUAUUUAUGCGACUGAGUUAGCUUAUUCUCAUGCAUUUAUGUUGUUAUUUCUUAGUUAAUUAUGUAUUUUAAGCUAUUUUCGUGUGUUUGUAGGUCCAUAGGCCUUAUGAAGCAAUAAGAUGCAUUUUGGUGCAUUUUGGGCUUGGAAUGAAUAGCACAUGCAUGGAGUAAGGUGGAUGGACGAAAUUGAAGACUAAAGAGGUUAGGAAUGUGUUAAAGAGAAAGAAGAAUUAAUGUAAAAAGGACAAAGAGCUCAGCCACAAAGGGGUGUCACUCUACCAUUCACCUUUCCAUCAUUGCCGUGCAUCACCAUUGCACUCCCUUUGGAUUCUUAUGCCAUGCAUCGUCAUCCAUGUUCCCUCCAUUGACUCAUUUGUUGCUUCAUUCCACCUCCAUUUCCUUUCUCUACCAUGUGUACAAUCAUUCAUGUUCCUUAGCUGCAACACCACUCCAUUUUACCCCCACGCUUUGCAUCAUCACUUCACUUUCACCUUUGAAUCAUUUCAAACACCACUCAUUGCACUCAAUUGCUACACCAUUCCUUGUUCCCUUCAUCAUUUCAGAUUUCAUGCAUCAUUACAUUGAAUCAUUGCACUUAAUUUGAAUCAUUGCACUCAAUUGCUACACCAUUCCUUGUUCCCUCCAUCAUUUCAGAUUUCAUGCAUCAUUGCACUCAAUUGCUACACCACUCCAUGUUCCCCUCCAUUGCCAUGCACUUCCUCUAUAAAAGGAAGUGUGUGUAACAUAAAUUUGGAGAUACUUUGUGAGAUCAUUCACUCCCAUUUCAACACAACCUUCAUCCAAACACAUCCAUUCAUCUUCACAUCCAUUCCUCCAUACAAACAAACCUUCAAACACUCACCAACACCUUGUGCCGUAGUAAAGGAAGGGAAGGAAAGUGCUUGGAUGUGCUUGCUGUCCAACUUGGAUUAUUGGAGCGUUUAGGUGUUUUCUUUCUUUUGUUUCUAAUGUUUAAAUUCAUUUCCUUUCGUUUUGUUGUAAAUAUGAGUGGCUAAACCCCUCUUGGCUAGGGGCGAUUUCAAAGCCAUGAUUAUGUGUGCAAUAUAAUUUGAUAAAUUCCAGUUAUGAACUCUUGAAUCGUGAAUGCAAUUGGCUUAAGUAUUUGAUUGAUAACUUAUUUGUAUUUGUUAAUUAAGGGUCGACACUUAAUUGGCAUGCAUAAAUCUGUUGCUAGAAUAUAGGGAAGUUUCACAUAAUCGUUACAAACUUAUAUUCACAUAUAGUGAAGGUCGCUUAUAAACGAUCGCGUUAAGUUCAAUUCCUAGCAUGAGUGACAUGAUGUCAUACUUGCAAGUGCUUUGUCAGUGCUUAUGAUUUUCAUUAAACCUAAUGAUCUUUGAUUGUAUCUCUAUUAUGAUGUCAUGUAGAGAACUUUAGAAGAAUGUUUUGGGUUGUCGAAUGAUGUCAUCCAAUCCAAUAAAACAAGGAAAAUUUGAGAGUUAACUAGUGAUGUCACGGUUAAUUUGGAGCAUUGUCGUUCAUAAUUCAAUGAAGUAGUACCUGGAAAUCGAGUUGUUUGCAUACAUAUCAUGUGUGGAGAAAAAGCCUCUAGCUAUCCCAUCCAUCAUCUUAUUUCUCAAAUUUGUUUUACAAUCUGUCUAGUUUUUCAUACUUGUUUGUUUGUUUCAACUUUGUCCAAAACUCAAUUCCCCUUUACUUUAGUGUGUCUAAUUAGUUAGAAUCUAUUUUAAUUUGUGUUUUUAAAUGUUUUGAUUCAAGUAAAAGUCAAUUUUCGUCCAAAGUCAUUCCUAAUGUCUAGUUUAAGUUUAUUUAGUUGUUUUAAGCUGUUUUGAGUAUUUUAAGUUUGCUUUGAGUCUUGUGAGUCUUGUUAAGUGUUUUUAAAUUUAGUUUUAUGUUUUUGAGUCAGUUUAGAGGUUAUUAGCAAGCCUUCCUAAUCCCCGGUCCAGAACGAUCCAUACUUGUACUACAAUUGUCAAAAGAUGGUUAAAUUUGUGUGUUAAGAUAAUUUUCGCAUCAGCUACCCACUGAGGUAAUUGCAGAAAGCAGAAGAAAAAAAAACAGAAAAAGCAGAAAGCAUGGCUACCCUUUCAACAUGAGAUCUGUGGUGGAAAAGAGCAAAGCAAAAGGCAUGGCUACCCACUGAGAUAAUUACAAAAGCAGAAAAGAAAAGAAAAAAGCAAAAGCAAGGAAUAAACACCCCACCAAAAUGAUGUAAUUUAUUAUCUUUCGAAGACAUCUGUAUAAACCUCAUCAGAGGGUAAUAUGUAUAAACCCCAUCAGAGGGUAAAUAAAUAAAAAUAAUAAAAAAAUAUAAAAAAAAAAGGGCAAAGCCCAAAGUAAAUAGGCUGGAAUGUUGUGUGGAGGGUGAAGGCCCAUAAGCCCAAAAUAGCACCAGCCAGGUGACCAAAACUACGUCCAGCACUCCACAAUUAUUCAACAACCUAUCGCUAUUAUCACCAACCAGGUGAUCAAAAGUACGCCCAGUACUCCACAAUUAUUCGGCAACCUACCGCUAUUACCACCAACCAGGUGAUGAAAUGUACAACCCGUACUCUAAUAUCAUUUGGCAACUAGCCAUUCAUGCCACCAACCAGAUGAUGAAAUGUACAACCCAUACUCUCCUUCAUGCCACCAACCAAGUGAUCAAAAGUAUGCCCAGUACUCCAAAUUAUACAUGAGCAUUACUGAUGUCAUUCAUACAUAAACAUUCAUGAGCAUCACUCAUGACAAUCAUACAUAAACAUUCAUGACCAUCAUUCAUGUCAACAUUCAUGAGCAUCACUCAUGUUAACAUUCAUAAGCAUCACUCAUGACAACAUCCAUAAGCAUCACUCAUGUCAAUCAACAUAAACAUUCAUGAGCAUCACUCAUGUCAAUCAGCUUCAAAAGCUUUAUUUACAGAGCUCUAGCUUCAAAAGCUUCAUUUACAAAAGCUCCAGCUUAAGCUUUAUUUACAAAAGCUCCAGCUUAAGCUUCAUUUACGGAGCUCUAGCUUCAAAGCUUCACUUGCAAAGCUUCAUCUACAAAGCUUCAGUGCAGGGUAUACAAAUACCGCCUUCGAACAACCGCCACUUCGGCCCAUACAUGGAUUCAAUUUGAAAUCUCCAGCCAACAGACUCUAUUGACCGAAGACUUGGGGGACUACAUUAUGUACCAUAUAUUGGGCCUCAAUUGGGCCUCAUAAAAAAUACUUGGGGGACUUAGCCCAUUAUUCAUGUACUGAUGAGCGAGCCCUUAUUUUAUAAAAGGGACUCCCUCACUUUCAUUAGAGAGCACCCAUUAUUUAUGUACUGAGGAGCGAGCCCUUAUUCUAUAAAAGGGACUCCCUCACCAUCAUUAGAGAGCAUCAACUCUAGCCUAUCACUUAUGUAUUGAGGAGCGAGCCCUUAGUCUAUAAAAGGGACUCCAUCACCAUCAUUAGAGAGCAUCAACUUUAGCCCAUCACUUAUGUAUUGAAGAGCGAGCCCUUAUUCUAUAAAAGGGACUCCCUCACCAUCAUUAGAGAGCAUCGACUCUAGCCCAUCAUUCAUGUAUUGAGGAGCGAGCCCUUAUUCUAUAAAAGGGACUCCCUCACCUUCAACGCCACAAGCCAAGCCAACCAAGGCAACAUAAGCCACGAGCCGAGCAGUCUCGCAGCAUGUGCUACUUCUAGUUGAGCAUCAUUUUAGAUUGAGCACCGCCUCAUAUCGAGCAUCAGUUCAAGACAACAACUAGUUACUUCGGCCCACACAUGGACUGAAUUUCAAGUCUCCAGCCAAAAGACUCUCUUGACUGAAGACUUGGGGGACUACUGUUUAUACCAUAUUUAGGGCCUCGUAUUUAGAUCUCGUACAAAUACUCGAGGGACUUAAAUGUAAUUAUGUGAUAAAGGAAGGGGCAAAUAUAUAUUAAGUGAGGAGUCCUUAUUCUAUAAAAAGACCUCUCACCCUCACAAUUAGAGGAUGCCAUUUCUGAAGCCUUCUCACCCCUCUCACAUCUCCUCUCAUUAUAGAGGUUAUCUCCCUCACCUCUCAGAUAAAUACAUAAUUAAUGUGGACGUAGCCCAAACCUUGGGGUGAACCACGAUACAUCUUGUGUUAUUUACAUUACAUGCAGAUUCACGGUCGGAUUUACGUUGUUCCAAGACCUCUGGUUUUGUGCAUCAACAAAAUCAACUUGUGUUGCUUCAUCGGCAACCACAUCCCCAUCCAAGGAACUUGGUUGGUGUGUAGUUGGCUGAAAUUCAGCAGGUAAGACAUGAACCAUGCUGAUUUCCAUAUUGUCGAGGACUGAAGGACCCAUUAGGUCUUGGUCAUCGUUCUCUGGGUUAUCAAGUAUGGUAUGAUGCUUUAGAGCAUCCUCGACCUGAUCAUCUCUCGCCUCAUCAGGUACCUGCUCUUGUGAUAUGUCAACUGAACCUGUUUCAUUCUGGUUCUCGUCCUCGAGCAUGUUCGUUGCUGGGGUUUUCUUUUGCCCCUGCAGUGCUUUACGGGCUCGUUCCUCAUAAGCUAUUCAGGCAUCCCUUGUGUCUAAGGAGGAGUUUAAUGCAUUUCUCAGAUUCUUCAAUAAUGGUUUCAAAGCCGUGAUCAAUUACCUUUUUUCCCUGAAGUAAUUCAUCCAUGAUUACCAAGGGUUGUCGAUCAUCUCCACUUCCUAUCACUUAUUUCGGCUGCCGUUUGGUAGCCGAAGUAGCUUGUCAUCGAGCCAUGCAAUCUAUCCGCUGGCAUUAACAUUUCUGAGAUUUGGAUAAUGCAGUAUACAUGCUAGUGGGAGAAUUGUAACUAUACCAAUGUUGGUCGUGUGGCUUAGAUGGCUUAAAGGUUUUUUGAUUCGCCAAUGAACUUGAGCUACUAGAGUUACACGAGUAAUAAUCCUCAUUGUAAAACGGCGCGUAGAAAUCAAGACGCCGUCUGGCUGAGGUGAGGCCAUCCGUUCAUAUUUGAAGGCCGAGCCUAUCGAACACUUUCUGGCGUUGGCUUCCGCCGAGUUCCUUUGGAAAUGUUGCCGCAAUCUUGGAUGUCUGUCGUGGUGUUGGAGCCUAAAAUGGUCUCUCCAUUGGUUUGGUUAGGACGACGCGUGCUUUACAACUGCUGCAUAAAACCAUCGGUCCAUCAGUUUCUUCUGUACUAAAGUCUGACAUAGAUUCGACUAUGACAGGUCCCAAAAAACUCUGUGGGUGGUUCAUUGGAAAAUAGAUCAAUCUUGAGUCGUGGUCGAGAAUUCUACUUUGGGACAUGUUGUAGAACAAACUCGGCCUUCCAUUUCCCUUUGCUCUUGGGCAAAUAAGCAUCUACCAUGCCAACUGUCGCCGAGGGGAAGAGAUCAACGUCGACAGUCAUCUGUUUUUCAGGAAAUUUUAGCUUGCCUUUAUCAAUCUAGCCUUGAAUAGCAUCACGGAACAUGACGCAGUUGUUUGUGGUAUGCUUACUCGAGUUAUGGUACUUGCAAUACGUUUUUCCUUUCAACUCUUCGGCUUUAGGAAUGUUGUGUCAUGGCCAAAGUUUGAUGAUCUUUGCCAACAACAACUAGUUGAAAAUUGCAUCGGCCUUGGUAAUAUCAAAAGUGUAAACUUUUGAUGUUUUAACUGUUUCUUCGGAAGCCGAGCGGGUUUUGGCAUCCUUGGAAUUAAUUUGAGUCAAUGCCUUGCAAACGUAUGGUUUAUCUAUUACUAUCUCGGUCGCGUCCACGUUGACGUAUUGGGAAUCCUCGCCUUCGGCCGAUGCGUAGCUAACCGUGAGAUUAUUGUAAAUUGCUAUCCGAGAUGGGGACUUUGAGAUCUUUUGCUCUCAGAGCAAAUAAUCAUAUUGCUCGACGUGCUGGGCCAGUUCGUACAUAUCUCGGAAGUUUUCCCCCAAGAAUUUCUUUUUAUAUUCCACAUCCAAACUGUUCAGAGCGAUUUUGACGAAUUCAACUUCAGAAAAAAGGUACCCGGCACCAGUUUCUGGCCGAUUUGAACCUCGUUAAGUAUUCCAUUGGCGAUUGAUCAGACGCUUGAGUCAUCCUAGCCAGUGAUGAGACUAACAUUUCCAUCCCUGGCCGAUAGAAUUGUUCAUGGAACUUUUCGACCAAUUCCUCCCAACUCUGGAUAGAAUUAGGUGGGAGGUUGAUGUACCAAGCAAAUGAUGAACCUAUUAGCGAGAAGUUGAAUAAUCACAGUUAUAUAUUAGUAAAAUGUGUACAUGCAAUGCAUGCAUGAUCUAUUAUCAUGGCGGCAGCCAAGGGGGCUAAUAUGGAACAACAUUUUUUGUCUCGAGGCAUUCAUCAUUCAUCAUUCAGCUUGUCAUGCAUGCCAUCAUAUCACAAGUAUGGUACCAUCCAACUGGACCUGGUUCAGAAUCACUAAACUAAUUAACACAGUUUAGAAUGUAACAUCCCAAAUCGACCAACGGAGAUGGGGUGAUGUGCCUUAUAUGUACAUGCCUACCUAUAUAUAGCACGAGAUUUUUUGGGAGCUCAUUGGCUUUGGAUUCCAUCAGAACUUCAAAGUUAAGUGAGUUCGGACGAGAGCAAUCUUAGGAUGGGUGAUCCAUUGGGAAGUUCUCGUAUGAGUUCCCUGAAACAAAACCGUGAGGGCGUGGCUGGGGCCCAAAGAGACAAUAUCGUGCUACGGCGGAUCCGGGACUGGGAUGUGACAAUUUGGUAUCAUAGCCACUCUGCCGUUCGGUGCGAGUAUGCCGACAAGGAUGUCUGGCCCCUAAAGGGGGUGGAUUGUAACAUUCCACAUCGACCAACGGAGAGGGGGGGAUGUGCCUUAUAUGUACAUGUCCACCUCCAUAUAGCACGAGCCCUUUUGGGAGCUCACUAGCUUCGGAUUCCAUCGGAACUCUGAAGUUAAGCGAGUUCGGACAAGAACAAUCCUAGGAUGGGUGACCCACUGGGAAGUUCUCGAAUGAGUUCCCACAAACAAAACCAUGAGGGCAUGGUCGGAGCCUAAAGCGGACAUUAUCGUGCUACGGCGGAACCGGUCUUUGAUGUGAUAUAGAAGGUGUCUCAAAAUCUUAUCAAAAGUGUUUUCACAUAAUUAAUCAACGGAUAAUGUUAGAGAGACCAAAACUUUAAACCUAAUUUGCAAACUAAAUAAUAUGUCAUUAAUAGAAAAUAAACAUGUUAAUCAACCAAAAUUUUAAACUUAAUUUGCUAACCAAAUGAUGAGGAAAUAAGCACGUUAAUUAAAGUUUAAGUAAUAAUCCAAUCAUCAAUAACUACAUCAUUUGACUAACAAAUUUGAUUCAAAAAACUUGGUCUUCCUAGCAUUAUUCUUAACAAAAAAUAAUAAACAGGUUUCUGAGGCUUCUUCAAUAACUUAUGCUUCGAUCCACCUGUAUUUAUAAAGUCCCCCAUCUAUUAAAAUUUUCCUCAAAUCAUCCUAUUUUAGGGAUUCACUUCUAGAGCUCACUCUAAAUUUGAAAUACUUCAAAAUUAAAAUGUUCGUAAAAUUGAAAUACAAUACAUAGCGGGUCCGCCCCUAUAAGAAUGCAGACUUAUAGGUAUGUAUUUCCGAGACAAUGUUAAAUGCAAUUUCAAGUGUCUGCAUAUGCCUGCUUUGGUACCGAGUGUUGUUUAACACAGUAAUUUUAGUCAGGGUAUUUGUUGGCUUGAAACGAUUGGAAUGUAGCCCAUACGCAUCUGACGUACAUUGGAUUGAAUUUAAUUAAAUUUGAUUGCAUUAGAUGAUAUUGAAAGAUGAAACAAUUAUCAUAAAAUAUAAUUACUUUUUAGGCCUUUUCAGGAAAUAACUCUUUAACUAUGCAGCAUGCUGUUUUCCUUUGCAUGGUAGUCCUUCAUCCAGUGGUGAGCAUAAGGCAGAGUCAAGAGCUGCCAAAGUGCUCGAAAUCCCAGAAGGUUGCUCCAGCAGCCCAUGGGAAGAGGAUUUUCUCUGAUACAUUUUGUGGGGAUCUUAGGGAUCUUCACAUCUUAACCAUUUAUCGUAUAUCGUGAGGUUAUUUUUGUCAGAUAUUAUUUGAUAAAAAAAAAUUAAAUGAUUUCUGACCGCACGAUAUAUGAUGAAUGACUGAAGAUCCUUAGGAUCCCACAUUUUGGAUCCGGAUGGGAUCCAAUUCCUUUUUUUAGGGGCGAUUUAUGGGUUCCACCAAGUCUGCUGGAAGGCUGUUAACACGCGAUGUCAGUGCUGAAGUCAUUGAACAUACAGCCAAACGAACCAAAGCCCAAUAACUCCUUCUUCCUUGCGCCUCAAUUGCUGGAUUUUCAAUUGUCCGAUGCUCUGAUUUUCCAACGGUAAAAAGAAAUUUAAAUUUCAACCAUUGUGCCACGUGCACAAUUUGGUGCUUUGAUUUCCAAAGUGUAUGGGAAUUAACGAUCAUAAUUAAUCCAGCAAUUAAAUUUUUAAAAAAAUACAAAAAAACUUCUCUAUAUACCCAACCAUCUUUUUCAUUCCCACACCACAAGUCAAUACUUAUUUUUACUACAAUCUCUUAUAUAUUUUUUUUCUCACUUUUCUAAAUUACUUAUACCAAAAUAAUGAGUGAUAAGGCAAAUUGGUCGAUCGGAAAAAAAAACGUUGCUUUGCUGGAGUGAUGGGUGCGGGUUACCCAUAACCCGAUCACAGAAGAUGAGCUGAUGGUGCAACAAAUGUGGAAGAAGAUUCAUGCACAGUUUGCCGAGUAGAUUCAAUGCAUAUUUAGGACUGAGCAAUCUUUGUCGAAUAGGUACAAACAUCUACAUAAAGAGUUGAAAUCUUGGCAAUAAGCCCUUAUAAAAACGGAAGCAAUUUAUCAAGAUGGCAAUAAUUUAGCUAAUGAGGUAAUAAUAUUUUAUGGUUAAUAAAUUUCAAAUGUAAUUAAUAAUAACACUUUCAGUAAUUAAAAGUAAUCAAGUGAUUAUAAUUUAUUACGUUGUUUCACAAUUCUUUCUUUUAGCAACUACAAGCACAAAUUUGGUUCAAUAGCAAUAACAAGUCAUUCACAAAGCACAAAUGUUGGAACGUUGUGAUGCCCUAGCAUCAUGCAUUGGAUGCCCUAGGUUGCAGGCUACUGAGAAUAAUAUUGUUUUGAUAUCAUACUAGGUUGUAAUGCUAUGCAUUGCUUUGUAGUCGAAAUUAAAUUAUCAGAGUUAAAAAUGGAGUUUUAUUUUCAAAGAACAAACUCACAAAGUUCACACUUAAACACACUUGCAAGGCACAAAUUGCAAGGAACUUAUAUAGCUCAAAUGGUUAAGAUCAUUUACCACUGCAAUGGAAGUAUUAGAUUUGAUACUCAUGAUGAGCCGAUAUUAUACUAUAUAUUUUACCCUAAUCUUAGUAUUAAUAUAUUAGUUAUUUUGGUAGAAUUUUGAUACUUUGUUAUAUAUUUUCAAUGUAGGACAUGCGACUUCCUCUAGAGCAAAAAGUGAUCAAAUGGAUGAAUUUUGGAGUAAUUCUAAUUGGAGGAUGUUCAUGAGUUUUUCAAGAUGAUUGUAUCAAAGUUUUAGAUUUUUCUACCAAGCCGCUUGACCGUGACAAUGAAAUAAAGGCCCAGCGCACAGCUUUCUCAUAUUGACGUUUCUGGAUGUUUUGGGCAUUUUGAAGGUCAAGAUGGAAUAUUUUGAGCAAGACUCAUUCUGAGGAUUUGUAGGGGAAGUCUUAAGCUUUCAAAAAAGACCUUUUGGGACCAAAUCGAAGUUGAUUUGGUCGGUCAAAAGUCUGAUUUUCUGAGAAGUCCGAAUUUUAGUUCAAAUAGGAAACCUUUAAUUUCUGUUUUAUUAUUUUUAUUAUGUUCCUAGUUUUAUUCUAAGACUUAGGGUUUUAUUUUGUAGUAGCAUAAAUAAGACUUUUUAGCCGUUAGGGUUAGAAGGGAAGGAGAGGAGGAAACGUACGCACACUUUAGAGAGUUUUUCAAGUUUAUUUUCUAGGUGUUUUCUAUCCUUAUUCUCAAUAAUAUUUUGUUUUAUGAUUAUUCGUAGCUAGUUUCUUUUGCUAGGACGAUGCCUUGAGCCUUAGUAUGGAUAUGUAAUUUUAUUAAUUUGCUUAUGAAUGGAUGCAUGCUUGCUUUGAAUUAUUCAUCACCGCAAUUAAACUAUCUAAUUGUCUUAGUGAUUCGCGACCAUUAGGAUUUUUAGACAAGUAAUUAGAUGCAAUUUCUGUUGGAACAUCACCCUGAGAUUGAGGAGGGCUUUUUGUGAUUAGUAAUUGUAAGUUCACUUGAGGUGAACAUCACGCUCUUAAGGGUUGUAUGGUUUUUCAAAGGGUUUUCACAAAGCUUAAUGAAUCUUGCAUGUUUAUAUUUGAUCUGAACAUCACAGACGGGUAGCAUGUCAGAUAUACGUUUUCGCUUGAACAUCACGAGGAAAAUAUGUAUUAGGAAAACCUAACCUUCAAAGCAUGUGUGUGGAAAUUCAUAAGUAAUUGGUAAAAUUGCGUAGAAUUGUCAAAGGGAUGGCGGAGCCCUAGGAUUUUCUUUUAAAUUGUUCUCUAGUUAAUUUCUUUAAGAGUUGGUUUUAAACACAAAUUAUUCAUUCAAUCCCUGUGGAAAACAAUCUUACUUGAGUUGCUAUACUACAACAACCUGGUUCUCUUGCAAGUAUUUUUAAGUGUUUUUAUCCUUAUUUUUGCAUGUGGUAAAAAAUCCUAUCAUCUCUCAUUCUCCAAUAUCACUUUUAUCAAAAAGAAGAAGAAGAAAAAAACUAAAAUGAAAAUGGUUAUCAAACUGGGCUUAAGAUAAUCCCAUCUGUGUGCUCAAACAGCCGCUAAGACACUCAGCUAACGGAUGGGGAGAUCUAUACUCGGAACAUACAAAAACACUCGUAAAAAUAAUCCCAUCUAUUUGCUCAAACAGCCGCUAAGACACGCAACUAACGGAUGAGGAGAUCUAUACUCGGAACAUACAAAAACAAUCUCUAGCCUCUAGUCAGUCUCUACUGUUUGUCUGUUACUGUACAGGGAAAGUAUUAUCUAAGUAACAAUUAGCAUUAUAACACAGAUGCAUAAAUAAUGUUCAUUCCUUACAUAAUUUUAAUUUAGACCAACUUUGAAUUUCAAAUCUCAACUAGGAAACCUUGACCCUACCUUGAUUUCUUCCUGGAUUGGUGUAAAGGUGGAGGGAAAGAAAGAUGCUAUGAGCACUGGAACACCGAGCACCAGCGGCAUUACAAUCAUAUUAGUGCUCGAUCCCAGUUUAGAAUCACAAGCAUCAAUGCAACGCCCUGAACCUGAACCCGUGGUAAAAGAAGACGUCCCUGCAUUUCCAAUAUUAUUAUCAUCAUGCCUCCUUUUUGAAUAAAAGCAAAUCCAACUCUUCCAAGACCAUUACCUUGAGAAGAAUGUAGGAAUCCUAUGUGGACUUAACUAGUUGCGAUAAAGAUGGAAUUACAUGUGGAUAAUACCACUUCAAUAAGAGUUUGAUACAUGGAAAACUAACGUCCUAUAAUUAAGGAAACACAUUCGAAAUGUUUGGGAUGCAACUGCCCUCCACUAACCAUUUUUCCAAUGAACUUGAUGCAACGGGACAAUAACCAACUCACCCACGAUAGAUGGGAGUUGGCAGCCAUUGUUUCUUUAUAUAUAGGAGUUCCCUGCUCACCAAGAAUAGAUUGCGAACAUAGGGUUCUAUCACCAUAAGAAUAUAAAGGUCUUGAGUGAGUAGAAGGAUUCCUUGUGCAACCAACCAUGUCUUCUUCAAGUAUCACUCUAAUGUUUUCAUGAUAGUGAUUACAUCUUUCAGUUAAGUAUAUAGAGUUAAGUCCUACAUUUGGUAUCAGAGCCAACUUAACUGCUCCUAAUCCUAUUUGUGUUUCUCGUUCAAUGUUGUUGUGAGAUCAUGCAUCUCAUGUUCUUUUAAAUUUUUUCUUGAUUUUAUAUGCAUACAUAACUGGUGAUGAAAACUUAUUGAAUGUCAACAUUCUUGUCCUAAGAAAGAAUGUAUGAAAUGUUAAAGUUUUGAUCACUGUAUAACAUCAUAUUGAUCAGGCCAUUUACUUGUCUAAAGACUUGAUACAAUUGUGUGAAAAGAUCCUGUAAUGGUGGGUGUAUAAUCAAGAAUGAAUGGCUGCUUAUAGUCUUACCUAAAUGUAUGAUAUAAGCAUGCGUUUGAACGAUUUAAAUGUUUCCAUGUCUUCUUCAGUGAAUACCUCAGCUAUGAACCUGUCCUCCAUUAAACAUUUUAUUUUGGAAUCAUGUAAUGUUCUUUAUGUACCUUCUAUAAGAAGGAGUUUAAUUUUUUCUUCUCAACUUGUGAAAUCUGGCUUUGCUUUUGCCGGUGACAAUGAAAAUCUUAAAAUUUUCUUGAAAAAUAAUCCAUCAAAUAUGAUUGGAAUUUGUCUCUUAAUGAGUGAUCUUUGGCAAGUGUUUUGUACUGUUUUAAAUGAGAUGGAUUGUAUGAAUGUCACGGCUUCAAUGCCAAGAAAUAGAUUGUUUUUAAAUGAAAGUACUUUUAUGCUUUGGCAUAGAAGACUUGGCCAUAUCUCUAGGGCUAGAAUGGAUCGUCUGGUUAAAGAUGAAAUUUUGCCAAAAUUGAAUUUCAAUGAUUUACUGAAUUGUAUUAAUUGUUGCAAAGGAAAAUUGACAAAUCUAAAAAAGAAAGGUUCGAUUAGAAGUCAAAAGCUUUUAGAGAUCAUCCAUAUGGAUGUCUGUAGACCUUUUUCCCACUAAAACUCUUUGUGGAAAUGUAUACUUUGUGACAUUUAUUGAUGAUUAUUCAUGGUACACAUACCUCUAUUUAAUCUCUGAGAAAUCCUCAGUCAUGGAUUGUUUUAAAAAAAUUAAAAAACCAAUUAAAUUUGUCCAUUAAAGUGUUAAGGUCAAAUAGAGGAGGAGAAUACUAUGGUAGGUAUGUUGAGACAGAUCAAGCUAAAGGGCCAUUGGCUUUGUUCUUGGAAAAAUGUGGAAUAAUUGCUCAGUAUACGAAUCAGGGCACACCAUAGUAAAACAGUGUGGCGGAAAGGAGAAAUAUGACUCUUAAAGAAAUGGUUCGAACCUCAAUUUUUGUGGGGUGGAGCUCUUAAAAUGGCGAAUUAUAUUUUGAACCGUGUUCCCACAAAGGUAGUAUUGAAGACUCCAUAUGAAUUAUGGACGAGACGCAAAGUGAGUCUCAACCAUUUGCAUGUCUGGGGUUGUGCAGCUGAAGCUAGGAUGUAUAAUCCCAUGGAGAAGAAAUUAGACUCAAUAACAGUUACGUGUAAUUUUGUGGGAUUCCCUGAAAGAUCCGAGGGAUUUAGGUUUUACACUCUAAGCCUUCCUCAUAAAAUUAUCGAAACUGCUCUAGCUAAGUUUAUAGAGGAUGGUGAUGAGAUUCAAGAGUCAGACACCGAUAGAGAGAGUUCAUGGUUUGAGGAAACAGGUGAUGUGUUGCCAGAGAAAAGAAUUGAGAUUUUUUUUAAUAAUGAAGCAAUGGAUGGCGUGCAUUUGCAUGGCAAUCCAAAAACCACAAAUCAGCCACAACCAAUGAUUGAGUUCCAACUUAAUGAUUUUGUUCAACCAACAUAUGAAAAUGCCAUGACCGAAGCGGCCAGAUCCUCAUCACAAACUGGAAACCAACUGAUUAAGCGUCAAGCCAAUGUUAAGAGAAGACUAUUGCCACCGAGAACAAGAAAGUCAGCUAUACCUGAUGAUUACUUGGUGUAUCUCCAGAAGAUGGAGAUAAAUGAAGACAUAAUUGAUGAUCCAAUGACUUUUGAUCAUGUCAUGCAAUAUGAGCAAUCACAAUUAUGGAAGAAUGCAAUGUUGGAAGACAUGAAUUCCAUGCAGGUUAAUGGGGUUUAGACUUUGGUUAAUGUACCUGAAGAUGUGAGGGCUAUUGGCAGCAAGUGGAUCUUUAAGACAAAGAAAGAUUCAUUUAGCAAAAUUGAAAUAUAUAAGGCACGACUAGUAGCAAAGGGUUUUACAUAAGCUGAGGGAAUUGAUUAUUCAUAAACUUUUUCUCCAUUGUCAACUAAAGACAGUCUCAGAAUCAUUCUUGCAUUGGUUGCACAUUAUGACUUAGAGCUUCACCAAAUGGAUGUGAAAACGGCAUUUUUUUAAUGGAGAUUUGGAGGAGGACAUCUAUAUGGAACAACCACUUGGUUUCAUAAAAGAAGGGCAAGAGAAAAUGGUGUGUAAGUUGAACAAAUCUAUAUAUGGAUUGAAGCAAUCGUCCCAAUAGUGGUUCUUAAAGUUUGACGAGAAGGUGACUGCUUUUGGAUUUACUGAAAACAAGAUUGAUGAUUUCAUAUACUUGAAAGUGUGUGGUUCAAGGUACACUUUCCUUAUCUUAUAUGUAGAUGAUAUUCUCCUUGCUAGUAACUGUAUCAAUUUGUUGAUUGAGACAAAAGCCUUGCUGUCUAAAACCUUUGAGAUGAAAGAUAUGGGAAAUGCUUCUUUUGUUCUUGGGAUAGAAAUCACAAGAGAUAGAUCAAAAGGGUUACUUGGAAUUUCUCAGAAGUCAUACAUUGAUAAGGUACUGCAACAAUUCAACAUGCAAGAUUGCUCAAGUGGUGAAAUGUUUAUGGGAAAGGGAGAUAGACUGAACAAGUCAUAAUGUCUUUAAAAUGACUUAGAAAAACUCAGUAUGACAUCAAAGCCUUAUACAUCAUUUAUUGGAAGUAUAAUGUAUGCUCAGGUUUGCACGAGGCCUGACCUAGCCUUUGCAAUAAGUGUAUUGAGUAGAUACCAAUCAAAUCCAGGAGAACAACACUAGAUUGUAGCAAAGAAAGUGUUGAGGUAUUUAUAGAAGACCAAGUCAUUCAUGCUGACGUACAAAAUAGUACAAGACUUGGAACUUAAGGGACAUGCUAAUUCAGACUUUGCAGGUUGUGUGGAUGAUAGAAAAUCAACGAGUGGGUACAUAUUCUUUCUUACUGGUGCAACUAUUUCAUGGAGAAGUACCAAACAAAGGGCACUAGCUACUUCAAAUAUGGAAGCUGAGUUUAUAGCCCUAUUUGAAGCAACUAAGACGGGAUUGUGGCUGAAAAAUCUCAUAUCAUUUAUGAGAAUAGUGGACACUAUUUCAAGACCACUAACUGUGUAUUGUGACAACAAAGCAACAGUAUUCUUUUUCCAAAAAAAAAUAAGAAGUCUGAAGCCACUCGAUUAAUGGAUGUCAAAUAACUAUCAGUGAAAGAACAUGUAAAGAAAGGAGAAAUCUUUGUAGAACACAUUGAUACAAAGCUGAUGUUAGCAGAUCCCUUGACUAAGCCGCUGGUUUUGGGAGUGUUUAAAGAACAUGUUUCGAGCAUGGGAAUGCAUGACAACUUGGGUUUCGCUGAAGUGUGGGAGUAACAACCUAAUAUGUGUUUUACUUUUAUUCAGUUUACUUGUUUUAAGUUCGUCAUUGCUGAAUAUAUGAGGUUUUAAUUUAUGACUUGCAAGAAAAUGUCUGAUCUUUGUUCCAAAUAACAUUUGAUUAAGUUUUGUUAUGCAGGAAAAUGGAAAAGAAAUCCAGUGAUUGAAGAUGGCAAACCACUUUCAAUCAAUAAAGGUAAACUGGAUAAAUGGGGAAUGAAAUGGGGUAUGCAUCAAAAACCAUGUUUAGAAUGUGUAUAAAUGUAUGUCUUCAUUAGCAUUAUACAGUAUGAAUUUGUGGAUUAUGGUUUCAGGGUGAAUGCAACAUUAUUGUAUGUAUUAUUUCCUGAGAUUCGAACUCCAAAUGAUUACUGGUCAAUGUGUAUAAGAUGCUAGUUACGUAAAACUCAAGUGAUCACUAAGGAAUGAAAUUAUGUAGUACAUGAAAUUUCGAAACCACAACUAAUUAGCGUCCAUGUGGGAGAAUGUAGGAAUCCUAUGUGGACUUAACUACUUGUGAUAAAGGUGGAAUUACAUGUGGAUAAUACAACUUCAAUAAGAGUUUGAUACAUGGAAAACUAACGUCCUACAAUUAUGGAAACACAUUCAAAAUGUUUGGGAUGCAACUACCAUCCACUAACCCUUUUUCCAAUGAACUUGAUAUAACGGGACAAUAACCAACUCACCCACAAUAGAUGGGAGUUGGCAGCCGUUAUUUCUUUAUAUAUAGGAGUUCCCUGCUCACCAAGAAUAGAUUUUGCGAACAUAGGGUUCUAUCACCAUAAGAAUAUAAAGGUCUUGAGUGAGUAAAAGGAUUCUUUGUGCAACCAACCAUGUCUUCCUCAAGUAUCACUCUAAUGCUUUCAUGAUAGUGAUUAGGUCUUUCAGUUAAGUAUAUGGAGUUAAGUCCUACAGAAACUACUCCUACUUGUUUAAUUUUUAGGUUCAUUUUUUCAAUCAAGUCCACAGUACCAAGAAGCUGUUUUGGGAAGCUAACAGCUUACCCAAUCAAGCUCGGACGAACGCAAAUGCUUGGACUGUAGAUAGUGCAGAGGCAUUGACGGAUAACAUAAGGGAUAUAGGGCCUCAGUUGCUGCUACUAAAUUGGUUUCAAAUCUAGAAAGCCCCAACACAAUUAAAUUCCGUGAGAAGACCAUGAUCAAUUGGCGUCGGCUAUGGUGUUGCCAGCAAUCUUGCAAAUGAAAGGGUUAAUGACAUGGAAUCGCAUUGUGGACAAUAAAUAGAAUGGCCAAAAUGCAGGAAAGACACCAUAAGGCACGGCCAAAUGAUGCGAACAGGUUGGUUUCGGCCACUAAUAAACCAAUGGCCACAAGUGAAGUUUGUUUGUGUGUGUGUGUGUGUGUGUGUGUGUGUGUGUGUGUGUGUGUGUGUGUGUGUGUGUGUGUGUGUGUGUGUGUGUGUGUGUGUGUGUAUUAUAUAUACUUCAAUGGAGGCUUGAUACAAAUAUGGAAAAGUUCCAGAGAAUGACAGAGAGAAUGAUGAUUAUUGAAUUCGAGAUUCCUCACAAUAAACAUGUGAGGUUGUUACUGUUAUACAUGGAAGAGGAAGGGAGAUUCUUCACUCAUCAAACCAAAACAAAUCUCAGCCCUUAAUUGUCAUCACCCUAUGAGAUGAUGCCACUUGUUAUAAUCUACCACUUAAGCUAGAUACAAGUGAGAGCAGCCAUAUAGACUAUAAUCCAAUGGCUCAGAUUUAAAAUGAAAACAAUUAUUAAACAAAGCAUUUGAAUUGUUUCUUUGGCUCCAAGUUUCGACUAAAGGGUUACACACUAACAUUCCCCUCUAACCCUUUAGUUUAUUUAACUCUCAAAACCUCCCUUAGGUAGACAAAUCAAUCUUUAGGCAAAGCUUUAGUAAGAAUGUCUGCAAUUUGCUCCUUAGUCUUCCAAUACACUAGUUCAAUCUUUUUGGCUUGAAUUGCUUCUCGGAUGAAAUGAAAUUUUCUGCUGAUGUGUCUUGUCUUUUGAUGAUGAAUAUGAUUCUUUGCCAUAGCAAUGGUUGAUGUAUUAUCACACAUAAUAUGAGUUCCCUUCACUUGUUCUUCUCCAAAAUCUUCAAGUACAAAUCUCAGCCAUUUUCCUUGAAAGGUAGCUUCUGUAGCACUUACAUAUUCUGUUUCUGCAAUGGACAGUGCCACAGUGCUUUGGUUGAUUGAUGCCCAUGAGAACACACCAGAUCCUAGUGAAAAUGCAUACCUUGAAGUACUCCUCAGAUCAUCCUUACUUCCAUCCCAAUCACUAUCAUAGUAACUAAUUAUAGUAGUGGCCUUCCCUUUUUCAAAGACAAUUCCAAAGUCAAUUGUUCCUUGAAUGUAUCUCAACACCCUCUUUAAUGUUUCCAUGUGUUUCUUGGUGGGAUUAUGCAUGAGCUUUGCUAAUAAGCUGGCUACAAACAUUACAUCAGGUUUGGUUGCUAUCAAAUAAAGUAAACCCCCCAUAAGCUGUCUGUAUUCUCCCUCAUUACCAUCAACCUUACUCAAUUUUUUAUUCACUGCAAGUGGAGUGGCAACAGAUUUGCAGUCUUUUAACCCAAACUUCUUAAUCAGCUUCUGUGCAUACUUCUUUUAGUGUAUGAAAAUGUUUUUCUUAUUUUGUAGUACUCAUAUUCUAAGGAAAUGGUAUCUCAUAAUGUUUCAUUAUGUCAUCUUUAAACUCUUCAAGCAUUUGUGGACUGUUAUCAAUGUAUACAAUAUCAUCUACAUAUAAGGAGACAAUAAUGAUACUUGAAUCCUCCCUUGUUUUAACAUACAAGGUUGCCUCACUUGAGCUUUUCUUGAAACCUACACUGUUGAAGUACGCAUCAAUCUCAUCAUACCAAGCCCUUAGUGCCUGCUUCAAUCCAUACAGUGCCUUGUGCAGUUUAUACACCUUAGUUUCUUCAUUCUCUUUCACAAAACCUUGUGGUUGCUCAACAUAUACUUCUUCCUUCAACACUCCAUUGAGAAAUGCAGACUUCACAUCCAGUUGAUACAAACUCCAUAUCUUCUAUAGUAAGGGCAAUCAAGGUUCUUAUGGUAUCCAACCUUGCCACUGGGGCAAAUGUCUCAUUGUAAUCAAUUCUAGGCUUCUGUGAGUAACCUUUAGCCACCAAUCUUACCUUAUUUUUCUACACAGUACCAUCUAGAUUGAGUUUGGUCUUAUAAACCCACUUGACACCAAUGACUGGUUUAUCAAAUGGUCUCUCAACAAGCUGUUACGUAUUGUUAUUUUCUAUCAUUUCUAACUCAACUUUCAUUGCCUUUCUCUAUAAGUCAGCUUUAGCUGCAUCUCAUAACUUUCAGGUUCAAUAAUACACAUAUUGCACUAAGCCAUGAUUUCAUUCACACCUCUCCACUUUUUAGGUGUAUCAUCAUAUACUUGAGAUAUGUCAGCCACAAUUUCACUUUGAGAGGUAAUGAAUUACUCAGAAUGAGAACUUUCACCACUUUCACAUAUCUUUUUAGCAUUAUGGUAUUCAGUGACAACUAGAAAUCUCACUUCAGUAUUUGUAGUGUAGUUCCAAUCCCAGAAAGCAUUCUCAUCAAAUGUGACAUCUCUUGAUAGAAUGAUCUUCCUUGAAAUUGGAUCAAAUAAUAUGUAGCCCUUCUCAUUAGCACCAUAGCCAACAAAGAUGCACUUAUGACUGUUUUCUUUCCACUUGUGUCUGAGAUUAGAAGGGAUAUGCACAUAGCAAAGUGAACCAAAGAUCUUUAAGUGAGUUAUCCCUGGUUUUAUGCCAUUAUAUGCCUCAAAUGGUGUUGUUUUCUUCAAAGCUUUGGAAGGACAUAUGUUGAAUAAAUAAAUUGCAAUGUUCACUACUUCUGCCCAAAGCACAUAUGGAAGAUUCUUUUCAUACAACAUUUGACUUUGCCAUUUCUACGACAGUUCUAUUCUUCCUCUCUGACACUCCAUUUUACUGAGGAGUGUAGGCCAUGGUAAACUGUCUUUGGAUUCUUAGAUCACUGCAAUACUUAUCAAAUUCUGCAAAAAUGAAUUCUCCUUCUUUAUCACUUCUAAGACAUUUCACCUUAUAACCACAUUGUAACUCAAUCAUUGCCUUGAACUUUUUAAAACAUUCAAGUGCAUCAUAUUUAUAUCUCAAAAAAUACACCCAUGUCAUUCUUGUGCAGUCAUCUGUGAAUAGCAUAAAGUAUUUGUUUCCAGAGUGAGAUUCAACUUGCAUUGGACCAUAAAUGUCUGUGUGGAUAAAUUCCAAUGGAUUAUUAGCACUCCAAGUUGAUUCAGAGGGAAAUGAGUCCCUGUGUUGUUUUCCCAUCAUGCAACCUUUACAUACACUUAUGGACACUUCCAAGUGGGGCAAUCCAUACCAUCUCCUGUUCUUCAAGCAAUUUGAGACUUCUUUCAUUCAAGUUUCCCAAUCUCUUAUGCCAUAUCUAAGAGCAAUGUGUGACACUUGCUCGUGGUGCAAACUAUUUUGCAGGCAUCAUUGUCAAGGGAAAACAUCUAUUAUUAGUCAUUUGUACUCUAACCACCAAGUUGUCAAGUGACCAACCAUCAAAGAUGUUCACUACAUCUCCUCCAAACAGCAAGUAAUACCUAUGUUCCAUCAUUUGUCCAACACUAAGGAGAUUUUCCUCAAGUCCAAGGACAAGCAUCACUUCUUGUAUAUGUUUUCUUCCCAUUUUGGAUUCAAUCACUAAAGUUCCAUUUCCUGCCACCUGAACAAUUUCUCUAGUUCCCAUCUUCACUUUAGAAGUUAAAUUUCUCUAAAUAUUGACCAACAGCCUAUCAUCACCUGUCAUGUGGUUACUACAACCACUGUCAAUAUACCAUGAGUUGUUUACUUUCACAUCUCUCACUGCAUUACAAGCAUAGAACAGUGAUCCUGUUUCACCCAUUUGCCUUGCAUAAUUAGCCUUUUGCACUCCCUUAUUCUCAUGACAAUCCUUCACAGCAUGACUUGGUUUAUCACACCUUGUACACUCUAGUUUUCCUUCAUACCAACACUUUCCAUAAUGAAACCUAUCACACCAUUUACAAUUUCCCUGAGUAUUAUUCUGCGUCGAAGUAAAAUUAGGCAUGUGAUCCCAAUUUAUCUAAGCAUUGUUUUGUCUAUUAGCAAAGUUAAGCUUGUGAUCCCAACCUUUUCCUCUUGGUUUCCAAUUCUUUUGAAACUUCUUAUUUCCAGAAGAUCCUCCACUUUUAAGACCCUUUGUUGCAACAUUUAAGCUAGCGAAUGCUCUCUCAGUAUAGGUUUCAGUAUGCAAAUCAAGCCUCUACUCAAAUCCCUUGAGUGAAGCAACAACUUCUUGUACCUCAAGAGUUUCAAGAUCUCUAGAGUGCUCAAUCACAGAUUAUAUUGCAUCAUAUGUUUUUGGAAGACUAAUUAACAGUUUCUGCACAAUUUUCUCCCUAGAUAAUUCUUGUUUAUAGCUUCUCAUUUGAUUAGUGAUAUCAAAUAAUCUAGUGAGAUACACAGAUAACGAUUCAUUUUCUUUCAUGCCAGUAUAUUCAAAAUCUCUACAUAACCCUUGCAAUUUUACACUUUUUACUUGUUUGACUCCUCAGAAUUCACUCUUCAAGACAUCCGAAGCACUUUUGGACGUUUCUUCAUUCACAAUUCUGAGGAAAAUUUAAUCUAAGACAUCUCCUUAGGUUAUUCCAAGCGCACGAGCAUCUCUCAUCAAGGUCUCACUGAAUGAUGCGAACUCCAUCAUUUCCUUCUUCGUCUCAUUGAGCACAGCCUUCAUAUCCUUCGGAUCUAGAGGUUCAAACCCAUUUUCAACCAACUCCCACAGACCAUACGAUUUCAAUAUAGUCAUCACACAAAUCCUCCAGAAUUCAUAAUUUUCUCUAUUGAAGACCGAAGCUCUAAGCUCAGUAGUACUUGAACCAGCCAUGUUAGACUUUGGAUUCAAGAAAUCACAGCUUCCAGAUUCGAUUUGAGCUCAAAAUGCAGCUCAAUCGCAUCCACAGAUGUCACACCCAAUUUAGAAGAUGAAACCUGGCUAUGAGGCCAUGUUUGUGUGUGUGUGUGUGUGUGUUGGAUAUGCUUCAAUGGAGGCUUGAUACAAAUCUAGAAAAGUUCCAGAGAAUGACAGAGAGAAUUUCAGAAAUAAUGUUGAUGAUUGAAUUCUAGAUUCCUCACAACAAAUAUGUGAGGUUGUUACCAUUAUACAUGGAAGAGGAAGGGAGAUCAUUCACUCAUCAAACCAAAACAAAUCUCAGCCCUUAAUUGCUAUCACCCUAUGAGAUGAUGCCAUUUGUUAUAAUCUAUCACUUAAGCUAGAUACAAGUGAGAGCAGCCACAUGGACUAUGAUCUAAUGGCUUAGAUUUAAACUGAAAACAAUUAUUAAACAAAGCAUUUGAAUUGUUUCUUUGGCUCUAAGUUUCGGCUGAAGGGUUACACACCAACAAAGUUAUUGCGAAAAGCAUGAGCAAGCACAAAACACGGUUUGCACCAUCAAUGGCAUUUGAAGAAAAUAAUAAAUAAGCAAUCCAACCACAGGGGGAAACAAAACGUGAGUGAGUACACGAAUGCAGGGAAUGCACUGAGAGACAAUUGAGCCGAGGCCGGAGACGCAGGUGACCAACAAGGUAAAGCUCCAAGAGGCAUAGACGACGGCAACAAAUGCACCAAAAAGAGCACCAACGCUUUAGAAGCAAAGGCAGUAAAGCUGACCUCUUGAAGGUCGUCUUGUUUCAUGGUCGAAAAGCUGAGCUCGGUGACCAGGAUGACAAAAGACAUGACAUAAAGCCAACAGAGGAGGAUGGCAGGGGUGGAAGGUAAAAGAUAUUGUAUUUUGUAUAUUGAAAAUGUUACAAGAAAAGCCUCCACCAUAUAACAGUGCUGGAGUUCUAAACAAUAAAGGUAGCAGCUGCCCUAACUACACUCAACCAUAUGCAAUGAAAGCUAGCCUAUACAACCCUGAGUGUCUAUACAAUAGACCUCUUGACUUUGUGAUCGAAAGCCUUAUUUUGUUGGAUCUUGUUUCCCGAAUUUUGUGUCCACAAGAGAUAAACUUGCUAUCUUUUCUCCAUCAUCCCCCCGCAAGCUCAUGAGCAUGCAACGAAUGAGCUUGGAUUUUAAGAAACGAAAAUGAUCAGCAGACAAACCCUUAAUGAAGAUAUUUGCGAUCUGAAACUGAGUAGAGACGUGACGACAUUCAACGAACUUGCCACAACAAGCUCACGUACAAAAUGAUAAUCCACUGCAACAUGUUUUGUUCGAGCAUAGAACACGGGAUUAGACGGCAAUGCAAUAGAGCUUGUAUUAUCACACCAAAUCAAAUGAGUGGAAAUAGGGAUGCAAAGCUCUUGGAACAGCUGUUGUAGCCAAACAAGUUCAGUUGCCGUGAUUGCUAACUGCCGAUAUUCAGAUUCGGUACUUGAACGAGCAACUGUGCGUUGCUUUUUGGAACUUCAAGAAAUCAAAUUUGGACCAAAGUACAUGCAAAACCACCGGUAGAGCGUCUAGUGUCAGGAUUCCCAGCAUAAUUCGAGUCAAAAAAUCCAACUAAGUCCGUACCACCACAACGAAACAAAAGCCCUUCUUGAGGGGUGCCUUUUAAGUAACAAAGUAUUCAAUUGACAGCAAUCUAGUGAACUGAGGUAGGCUUAUACAUAUGCUGACAUACCUGAUUCACUGCAUACGUGAUGUCAAGCCUAGUGAUGGUUGUAAAGCCCCUACCACACUUCAAUAAGUAGUAGGAUUAUCCAACGAUACACCAUCAAUGGAGCGAGGUGGGGAGCCAGAUUGAACUGGAGUAGCAGAAAGCUUGGCUUCCAACAUAUCUACACGCUUCAACAAAUCAAUAAUAUAUUUGGUCUACUUAAGAUGCAACCCAUCAUCACCACGAGUUGCUUCAUGGCCGAGGAAGAAAUGGAGGGGUCCUAGAUCUUUCAUAGCAAAACUCUGACCAAGUGAUAUUGUAUUUUGUAUAUGGAAAAUGUUACAAGAAAAGCCUCCAUUAUAUAACAGUGCUAGAGCUCUAAAUAAUAAAGGCAGCAGCUGCCCCAACUACACUCAACGAUAUGCAAUAAAAGCUAGCCUAUACAACACUAAGUAUCUGUACAAUAGACCUCUUGACUUUGUGAUCGAAAGCCUUAUUUUGUUGGAUCUUGUUUCCUAACUUUUGUGUCCACAGUAGAUAGACUUGCUAACUUUUCUCCAUUAGAGGGGAGUAGGCCGGAGCAGAUGGUAGCGGCAAGCAAACUGAGCAUGCCAAGACCAACGGCAUUGCCGAUGAUCAAAGUGAUAGCACCCUAGAAGCUCUUGUUUUGUUGAUGGAAAUCAUUACUAUUACUAUUACUGGUGAAAGUGGCUGCUGCAGUUGAAGUAAAAGGAGUAAUGUUGUGAAUGCAGUAGUAGCGGCAGUGGCAUUUGAGUUUGAAGGUUGUUUUAGCAUUGAUGAAGCUGUAGUUCAGAAUGCGAGUGAGAUUGGGAUUAAUGUUUGAAAGUUCUAGGAUGGGUACUAGUUUAACCUAGAGGGGGGUGAAUAGGUUCCAAUUUAAAAAUCCAAUUCAAUUUUCAAUUUAAUUUUCAGUUCUCAAAUUAAAUCCACAUUCACAUCACAUAUCAAACUAUCAUACUCAUAUGCAAUUAAAACGAUAAAUAAAAAGUACACACAUGAUGUAGGAUUUAACGAGGCAAAACCCACCACUGGGAAAAUCCUCGGGCUCCCAAGCCAGGACAAACACUAAGAGAAAUAAGUACAGAAAGACUUACAAAACUCAUCAACUAGACAUGCAUACUAGUAGGCAGUUUUGUCUCCGCGCUUUGCUACUCGAUCUCUCUUCAGCCUUGAGUGGAAAUGAUACAACACUAACGCAGUUGUAAAUCACUGUCUCUUCGAACUUUGCAAGAUACUAACGCGAUCAUGCAGAAUAUAUGAAAUGAAAUGAUUUUGAAAAUCAACCAAUUAUGAAAAUCAUAAGGCACAUUUUCAUAAUUGAUUUCAAUUGAAGCGCAUGAAAAAUCAGUGAACAAAAACUAAUAUUUUCUUUGAAAAACACAUGGCAAUAAAACUGAUUUUUCUAAAACGAAAAUAACUCUCGGUGCACUUAGACUGCUAACAAAUGUUUGCUUUCAAAUGAUACAUCAUGUGGUAAAAGCAAACUGGAGACAUAUUCUGACUCAUGAAAAUAUAAACUGACUUAACCCUAGGCAUGCGGCACAUGAAUUUUCUAUUUGUUUAAUGCAUUGCUGCUAGUGUUUAUAUCAUACAGAACCAACCUAAAUGCAUAUGUAGCAGCAGCAGGAAAAACCCUAAACUGAUCUAAUGCAUGCGGCAACCAAAACAUAAAAACAUAUUGACUCAGUGUUGAUGCUCUGCUCUGUUAACUAGUCUGUGUUAUGUGAUACCAACCGAGAAAAACCCUAAACUCAUCUCAUGCAUAUGCGGUGCCCAUUUAAAACCUAACCUGAUAAACCUAUAAAUAUGUGUCUGUUGGAUCAAAGAUACUCAUCAGGUGGUCAAAGAAACGGAAAGAUCAGACUAGUCAACCUAAUUGGUUAAAACAACUAAUCAAAUAGAGUUUGAAGUAAUCUCUAAGUGAAGAGAUCAAACUAAAGAUCAUUUGAAAUUUAUCCACAUUUAAAAUGCAUAGCAUCUGACUCCAAAUAUAUAAUUCUCGUAUUAAUAUAUGGGCCUUUAAUUAAGCUAAAUGAAGUCAGAGCAAAUUAAUUAACAUGUAAAGCCCAAACCUCAAUUGUUAUAAACUUAAAGCUAAACAGCCCAUUGAACAAAAACUUAUAUCAUGCGAAUGUAUAUAUGCAUGCCAAACUUACUUGAGUGGAUAUCUUUGAAAUACUUGUCAUUUUGUGAUCAAGAGCACGUGAGACAAACUUAGAUUAAAAUAAUUACAACUGAAAACAAGCACUAGUCUAAGAUUACAGACUCGGACGUUUUGUUUAGGAACUGCAAAUUUUACUCUAACAAUGUUGUUGGGAUCAGCUGGAGAGAAAAAGGGGUCGACUAUUCUAGCAAUUGGAGUUUUGGUGGUAGUGGCAAUUGGGUUUGAAUUAAUGGAUGGGUGCGGGGAAAUCCAGCACGAAGCUGAAGGUGGAGUUGGAGCAUAUUUGGAGUUGGAGGAGGCGGAGCCGCCGCACCAGGCACCAGGCACCAGCACAAACUUACACCUGAGGGAUUCUGUAACUCGAAGUUAGAUUCCGGUAUUUGUCCAACUAUGCUUUCUCUGCGUACCGUUGUAGUUGGGCUGUGUGCUUCUUGCCCACGGGGCUUUAAAAUGACACUCCCCCCUCCCUCCCAAAAGAAAAUAAUGAAUGGGCCUCACCUCAGCAUCGUGUUUGGGAUCCAUCGCUCUUUUUGAAUUUGCAUUUCUGCACAUUAAAAUUAUAUAUUUGAAUAAGAAUAGUUAAAUGAAGGGGACUAGAGAAAGUAACCUUCUUGUUCAGAUGUUUUGUUUAGAUGUUGCUCGACGCCCUCUAUAAGUAUAUAUUGUAGAAAUCCCUUCAACCUCUUUAAAUAUAAAUGGCUAUAAUUGCCUUUUAUAGAGUGUCCUAUAAUGAAAUUGACUCGUGGAUUGAGGUGGCGAAGAAGCGACAUUGAAAUGUAUAAUAUCCCAAAGAAUAAUCCAAGAUGAAGGGGAUUCAAGGGAUGAGGCGGUGUAAACUAUCGCCACGUGUCCCAAAGAAUCUCUCCUGUUCACGUGCGCUGGCAAGUUCAAGUUCCACCAUAUCCAUCAAAUUAAAAUUAAAAUACAAAUUAACCCUUAUCUAACAUGUCUGUCCGUCUGUCCGUCUGUCUGUGUACAAUUUUCUCUCUCUGCUGAGUCUACACCACAAGUUACGUUGAACCGCACACACAGACCACAACUCUUGUUAUAGUUUUGUAACCGUGUGAUUAAGUGCCGUCGACAUAACGUACGGUUAAAUAAGGUUCCAGACAAGAGUGUAGAUUUUACUGUUGUUGGUUGUUACGUAGGAAGAAUUCUCCUGCUUUCUCGUUUAUCCUUUUCCUUUUCCCCCUUGAAAACGCUGUCAAGUUUCCCACCCGCGUGCUCUUUGCUUCAACUUUGAGCCAUUUCUUUCCUUUCCUUUUCUUUAUUCUCCCAAAUUCUCGAUUCUCCCAAAUUCUCAAUUCUCAAAUCUCAAGUCGAUCAAAUCGCAAUUCUCUCAAUUAUUAUUUGUUUGUUUGUUUGGGGGUUUGGUGGAAAUUGAAUUCAGAGACCGAUCGAUCGAUCGUCGAUGGCGGAAGUUUUGAGCAAAACCGGUCUGUUGUCGUCCUGGCAUCAUCAUCAUCAAAACAAAAAAAGCAGCAUCUCCGUUUUCCCAAAGAGUUGUAAUUACAAUAAAUCAGGGUCUUUCUCUUGCUCCUUCAAACUGAAUCCCGACAUUUCAUCACUAUCCUUGUCCACAAAGAGUGAUUUUCACGGAAAAAGGAUUGCUUUUCAAGCCACCGGCAUCAGGGGGAAUUCCCAAUCCCACGCUUCUUCUGCCGUUUAUUCCCAGCAGGUUCGUUUCUUUCUUCCCAUAUCCUUGUUCUGAAUCUGAUUCCCCUGCUCCGCUGGGUUUCAGAUAUUAUUGCUCACGAUUGAUGAUUUUCCCCAAAUUUAAGUCAACUUUCGGAUCAAUAUUUGAUCAAUUAAGUCAUGAGGAGAUUUUGUCUAUGCUUUUUGAUUGCUUAAGCCAAAAACUGGUUUGUGUUUUUUUUUUUUUUUGUUGUGGGGGAAUGGAAUUUUGCAGUCUGGAUUUCGGAUUGGGAAGGCUGCGAAAUGGUGGGAGAAGGGGAAUCAGCCCAACAUGAAAGAGGUGUCAUCUGCAGAGGACCUAGUGGAAUCCCUUUCAAACGCCGGGGAUAAGCUGGUGAUCGUUGAUUUCUUCUCUCCUGGCUGUGGUGGCUGCAAAGCUCUUCAUCCCAAGAUAUGUCAGCUGGCAGAGAUGAACCCGGAUGUCCAAUUCCUUCAGGUGAACUACGAGGAACACAAGUCCAUGUGUUACAGUCUCAAUGUUCAUGUCCUCCCCUUCUUCCGAUUUUACCGAGGUGCUCAUGGUCGCCUUUGCAGCUUCAGCUGCACCAACGCCACGGUUAGUGUUUGUCUUUCCUUCAUUUGGUCUCUGAUGAGUUUAUUAUUGAAUCCGUCUAUUGGUAUUGGGGUCUUUUCCAAAAGCUGAGUUCGAAUUUAUAUGCCAUCCUUUUCACGUCCUGAUAAGCAUUUUGAGUCUUGUUUUUAAUCUUAUUUAUUGGUUAGCUGUGGUUUUUUCUCUCUUGGAUAAAGUUUGCUGGUCGGAUGGCAUUGGCAAAUAAUGUUUGCUGUUUGUAUUGGUGUUGGUGUUGUUCCCUGAUGGUUGUUAUGAUAACAUGUUGACUUGGCAGAUCAAGAAGUUUAGAGAUGCAUUAGCCAAGCACAAGCCAGAGCGGUGCAGCCUUGGGCCAACAAAAGGGCUGGAGGAGAAAGAGCUCCUCGCUCUUGCUGCCAACAAAGAUCUCUCAUUUACCUACACUCCUAAACCAACUGAAGAUGUGCCUGCCAAGGAGGAAGUGAUUGUGGCUGAAGAGGCACCAUCUCGUCUUCCUCUUCCGUCGGCAACCUCACAGUCUGCUCAAGUGGUCACCGCCUGGAGAUGACGUGGUCAGUGUUCUUCACCAUCCCGAUUCCCUAAACCCACCCAUUUACUCUGCUCACCUUGUUGUAUUGUGUACAGUAGUGUUUCUUGUUGAUGCGAUAUGAUCAUAUAUGCAAGAGUAAGAGUGGAACAUAUAAGUAAUAGUCUUAAGGUUUCUAAGGGUUUCCCCUCCCCCCCAAACAGGCGCGGAAGAGUUGAACGUUGCAGGGCUUUGGAAUUGGUUUUUGGGAUCCAAGCCUGCGUGCAAAAAUCAUGUGUUGUAAAUUUGAAGAGAGCAAUCUGUCGGAAUGUUGGUCCGCCCUUAUGAUAUGACGUCUGCAAAUGUGUAUGUAAUUAAGAGCUGCUUCUUGGUCUUCUUGUUCUGUAUGUAGUAUUGAGUCAGUGGGAAGAUUGAAGAUCCUUGAUACUCCUCUCCUCACCUGUUGUUUUUACUGGGGUGUGGUAUCAUCGUAUCAUAUAUAUAUAUGUACGUAUGUAUGCAAGUAUAAUAUAUGGGAUUUCAAGUUUGAAGUUUGAAUGCAAUGUUGAGUGCUGAUUUUCAAGUGCACUGCACCCUCAACUCUUUAUUAUGCAUGUAUUAUAUAUUUCAGAAUUCAAAUCCAAGAGACGUGCUAAAAGGUUUAAAACCAGACAAGAUAAUGAAUGAACGAGUGAAGUCGGUAGAUCCCAAUAGUGCUUCAUAAACACAAACUCUUGCACUCUUGCACUCUUGCACUCUUGCACUCUUGCACUCGGAUUGGAUAAAGAUAAAGAAAAAGAAAAAGGGAGAAGGCGAGAUGGACUGGAUAAGAAUUGGUGUGUUAGUGGAGUCAUCAACGUGGCCUUUCUUAGUUUAUACACUCACAAACACAUAAAGGAACGGAUAAAGGCGGAUAACGGUGGCUACCCCACCACAUUGCAUAAGUCAUGGACUCAUGGGUGACUCAUUCAACAAAAUUCCAAGCAACACAAAUACAAGGGAGUAGCAGGUUCCCUUUCGUGCCGUGUUGUCGUAUCCUCCUCCGUCCCCGUGUUCAUUCCUCUUGUUUUGAACACGUCUUACGCUGUCAUCAUUGAACUCGUCUUCCUCUUUAUGUUUUUUCUAUGAUCAAUGACGGGUGGUAAUGAAUCAAAUAUUAAUAAAUAGAUAUUACUCGGCUACUCCUUAAGAUUGUUUUUUAAUUAAAAUGGUAAUUGUAUAAUUUCAAAUCUUAUAAACUAAAAUAAUAUGUCAUGCAAAUUUCAUGACCAUUUUAACUAAAAAACCACCUAUUAAUGAGUCCUUUAUGUAUUCAUUUUUUAUUUUGCUCAAAUAAUAUUUUAACACAUGUUUUGUUACUUUAAAAAAUAAUUGUUGUGUUAAUUAAUUUUUCCUGAGCUUUUAAAAAACAAGAACUUGUCAUUUUUUGUUUUGACCGAAUCAGAGUGCAUAAAGUAUUUCACUAGUGAUACUUGAGAAUUGUAAUUAGGGAUUUAUGAUUUCUUUUUUAUACAAGGCCAUAAAUACAUUUUGCACCAACGAUGGUUUACAUUAAAAGAAUUCUUGUUUAUCACAAAUUGUUAUCUUUCUACACUUUGAAUUCAUUAAUUGCAUACAGCCCACAACACAAUGCAAGCAACUAAACCCUAAGCCCUAAAGAUUUUCAUCUGUCCCUGCUGAGGCUGGCGCUGGUGCUGGCGCUGGCGGCAGGGCUGGUGUACGUCAUGCCUGAAUCUGAAGCUGAUUAAAUAUCACUCAAAACCCAACAAGGAUACCGUAUUACAAAAGGUACACUAACAAAACAAAACAAAACGAAACGGAAAAAGCAAGGUGAUAUAUAUAUAUAUACAUGUUUUAACAGCUAAACUACCAAGUAGCAACUCAAUCGUCCACAUCAAUCAAGAUACCAAAGUAAUAUAUCAUUCAUUCAAAAGUGACAUGCAAUAAGAAAUGUACAGGAGAGACAAGGUAUCUAAAAGAAAUUCAACUAAAACAACCACCACAUAUCCAAUUUUUACUAUCCUCUCUCAUCUCAUCUGAUCCAGAUGCAUAGUAAACUACCAAAACAAUCAUAAAAUGAAUAAAACAAAUUUAUAUGAAAAUUUUAAUUUGGAUGGGGAUGGAGAAGGGGGUAAGCCCGCUGAGCCAUCACUGCCCCCAUAUCAUAUCAUAUGGAAUGAAUUUUAGAGGGCUCUGACUGCGGGCAGUCUUCACUGCAGGAGGGUUUGAGACACCAAACCAGCGAGUGACGGUCGAGAGCCGCCAGCAGCCCUAGACCCCUGAAACAUCAUGAGAGGCCAAAGGGAGGGAGGGUGGCUCAGCCUCAGCCACUCGGUUCGGCGCCCCUCUCUGCUCAGAUAAGAUCAAGUAGUUGAACCUCUUAGGGUUUCUAUCCUCCCUUUUUAUAUAUUCCUAAAAGGCGGUUGUUUACACUUUACACUCGGCCCCUUCUCAACCCAUUUUUGGCGGCCCAAAACUAAGCGCAGCCCGAGUCUUCCGGUUUAAGCCCAUCCUCGAUUUUUUCAUUUUUUAAAUCAACUAAAAUUUAAAUUAGAACGAAACUCAGGAGUCAGUACUGAACUAUGGUUCUACAAUGUGGAUGCAGCAUUCAUAUCUCUUCCUCUGCAGCUUGACUAUUAUUGAAGCUCAAUCAUCCAGUAAUUUCAUUGUGCAUAUUCCUAAAAGGAUAAUGCUCGAAAGAUCAAAUUUAUAAACAAAGUUUGCAAAUCAAAUUAUGUGUCACCAAUAAAGAAAAAACACGUUAAUGGAUACUUAAUUAAUAAUCUAAUCAUCUACAACAUCAUUUAGUUUGCAAAUUUGAUUUGAAAAAUUUAGUCUCCUUACAUUACCUUUCCUAAAAUCCCAAGGGCACAAACCUUAAUCGACAACUAGAUGCUUGGCGCAACGAACAAUUCUCUCGUUCAAUAGUGCUGGUCCUUACCUCUUAUCCGCACUUGCCCACUCACACUUACAUUUCCCUGUGACUAUUCAUCUUCUAGACAACAAGGGGGGUAUUUCCUCAGCCUGGAGAAAUUUUUUAUUAUGUCGAAAAUACGGAUGGUACACCACGUGCUUUAUGUAAGUAGUGAG
rnacentral:lncRNA from 1 species